rnacentral:rRNA from 1 species
AUUGAACGCUGGCGGCAGGCCUAACACAUGCAAGUCGAGCGGAUGAAGGGAGCUUGCUCCUGGAUUCAGCGGCGGACGGGUGAGUAAUGCCUAGGAAUCUGCCUGGUAGUGGGGGCUAACGUCCGGAAACGGGCGCUAAUACCGCAUACGUCCUGAGGGAGAAAGUGGGGGAUCUUCGGACCUCACGCUAUCAGAUGAGCCUAGGUCGGAUUAGCUAGUUGGUGGGGUAAAGGCCUACCAAGGCGACGAUCCGUAACUGGUCUGAGAGGAUGAUCAGUCACACUGGAACUGAGACACGGUCCAGACUCCUACGGGAGGCAGCAGUGGGGAAUAUUGGACAAUGGGCGAAAGCCUGAUCCAGCAAUGCCGCGUGUGUGAAGAAGGUCUUCGGAUUGUAAAGCACUUUAAGUUGGGAGGAAGGGCAGUAAGUGAAUACCUUGCUGUUUUGACGGUACCAACAGAAUAAGCACCGGCUAACUUCGUG